GCUGGAAUUGCUAGUAAUCACAGGUCAGCAUACUGUGGUGAAUACGUUCCCGGGCCUUGUACACACCGCCCGUCACACCAUGAGAGUUGAGAAUACCCGAAGCCCAUGUCAAAGUGGUCGAAGGUAGGCUUGAUGAUUGGGGUGAAGUCGUAACAAGGUAGC
rnacentral:rRNA from 1 species